AAAUUCAUUUUCAAACCAAUGCAUUUAAUUUCAAUUACACAAAUACAAAUUCAGUCAGAGCAUUUCAAAUUCAGUUUCUGAUGGCACAAGUUUCUUCCCAUAGUUUUAGUGGUAAUGGAUUCUUCCUUUCUAAGUGGCCUUUCAGCUCAUGCCACCACAGGACUUGUUUUACUGUGGAUAAUGGCAGCUUCAGCCAGGACCUUGACAAAGUUAAAUCCUUUGUAACCUCUGCAAACUGUGGUUUAGCUAAAGGAUGUAAAGAGGUAGAUUUCAAUAAAAUGUUACUACGACAGCUGAACUUUAAUUCUGGUUAAUUAGAAUCUAUAACUGAUUGUAGGUGUGUACCCACAAAGACUGAAGGCUGGAACUGAAUAAAAAAGGUCUCACAUGUUGGCAUUGUUAGGUGCCAGGUUGGGAUCUUCAAGUGAAAACAAACCAACAAUGAACUGGAGAGGAAAUGUAUGCGGGACACGUAUAGUCACUAGCAGCAAGGAGGAAACAUGUCCCCCCACUUUGGCGAUCAUGUUCCCGGGUACUGGACCUUCGCAUGGGGACCAUCUCCUCUGUAGACAUGCUCAGGUCGCUGCCAGCGCUGCAGUCUGCUGACAGAACUGUGGGAGAAAAAACCAUAAAUAUGCAAUCGCCCCUUCCAACACUAAAAGAGUGCAGCAAAUACGUCACCAGGCAGCAGGAUCAAGAAUUUGUGUCAUAAAGGGUGGUUGAACAGAGCUGGAGUGCAGAAAGAUGCCUGGAAGCAGCAUG